rnacentral:rRNA from 1 species
UGCGUAACGCGUAUGCAACCUACCUCAAUCAGGGGGAUAGCCCGAAGAAAUUCGGAUUAACACCGCAUAAAAACACAGUACAGCAUUGUACAAUGUUCAAAUAUUUAUAGGAUUGAGAUGGGCAUGCGUGUCAUUAGCUAGUUGGCGGGGUAACGGCCCACCAAGGCGACGAUGACUAGGGGAUCUGAGAGGAUGACCCCCCACACUGGUACUGAGACACGGACCAGACUCCUACGGGAGGCAGCAGUAAGGAAUAUUGGUCAAUGGAGGGAACUCUGAACCAGCCAUGCCGCGUGCAGGAAGACAGCCCUCUGGGUCGUAAACUGCUUUUAUUCGGGAAUAAACCUACUUACGUGUAAGUAGCUGAAUGUACCGAAGGAAUAAGGAUCGGCUAACUCCGUGCCAGCAGCCGCGGUAAUAC